rnacentral:rRNA from 1 species
AACGAACACUGGCGGCAGGCUUAACACAUGCAAGUCGAACGCCCCGCCAGGGGAGUGGCAGACGGGUGAGUAACGCGUGGGAACAUACCCUUUUCUACGGAAUAGCUCUGGGAAACUGGAAUUAAUACCGUAUACGCCCUACGGGGGAAAGAUUUAUCGGGGAAGGAUUGGCCCGCGUUGGAUUAGCUAGUUGGUGGGGUAAAGGCCUACCAAGGCGACGAUCCAUAGCUGGUCUGAGAGGAUGAUCAGCCACAUUGGGACUGAGACACGGCCCAAACUCCUACGGGAGGCAGCAGUGGGGAAUAUUGGACAAUGGGCGCAAGCCUGAUCCAGCCAUGCCGCGUGAGUGAUGAAGGCCUUAGGGUUGUAAAGCUCUUUCACCGAUGAAGAUAAUGACGGUAGUCGGAGAAGAAGCCCCGGCUAACUUCGUG